UUCUCAAUCGUAUAACGGUCAGUAUGCUCGCUUGUCAUUACAGAAUUGUAUUGCGCGGGAGAUCAGGGUUCGAUUCCCUGUUGGGAAG
rfam:Cryptococcus amylolentus CBS 6039 supercont1.7, whole genome shotgun sequence.